AAUCAACGCUGGCGGCGUGCCUCAGACAUGCAAGUCGAACGAUUAAAGCUCCCUUCGGGGAGUGCAUAAAGUGGCGCACGGGUGAGUAACACGUAAGUAAUCUACCUUCGAGUGGGGAAUAACGUUCGGAAACGAACGCUAAUACCGCAUAACGCAGCGGCAUCGCAAGAUGACAGUUGUUAAAGGAGCAAUCCGCUUGAAGAGGAGCUUGCGGCAGAUUAGGUAGUUGGUAAGGUAAUGGCUUACCAAGCCUGCGAUCUGUAUCCGGUCUAAGAGGACGGUCGGACACGCUGACACUGAAUAACGGGUCAGACUCCUACGGGAGGCAGCAGUCGGGAAUUUUGGUCGAUGGGCGAAAGCCUGACCCAGCAACGCCGCGUGAAGGAUGAAGUAUUUCGGUAUGUAAACUUCGAAAGAAUGGGAAGAAUCAAUGACGGUACCAUUUAUAAGCUCCGGCUAACUACGUGCCAGCAGCCGCAGUAACAC
rnacentral:rRNA from 1 species